GGGACACGUGGUAUCCUGUCUGAAUAUGGGGGGACCAUCCUCCAAGGCUAAAUACUCCUGACUGACCGAUAGUGAACCAGUACCGUGAGGGAAAGGCGAAAAGAACCCCGGCGAGGGGAGUGAAAAAGAACCUGAAACCGUGUACGUACAAGCAGUGGGAGCACGCUUAGGCGUGUGACUGCGUACCUUUUGUAUAAUGGGUCAGCGACUUAUAUUCUGUAGCAAGGUUAACCGAAUAGGGGAGCCGAAGGGAAACCGAGUCUUAACUGGGCGUUAAGUUGCAGGGUAUAGACCCGAAACCCGGUGAUCUAGCCAUGGGCAGGUUGAAGGUUGGGUAACACUAACUGGAGGACCGAACCGACUAAUGUUGAAAAAUUAGCGGAUGACUUGUGGCUGGGGGUGAAAGGCCAAUCAAACCGGGAGAUAGCUGGUUCUCCCCGAAAGCUAUUUAGGUAGCGCCUCGUGAAUUCAUCUCCGGGGGUAGAGCACUGUUUCGGCAAGGGGGUCAUCCCGACUUACCAACCCGAUGCAAACUGCGAAUACCGGAGAAUGUUAUCACGG
rnacentral:rRNA from 1 species